GGCUGGCCCAAAAGUAGUGAGUUAUCUCACUUGAUCACAGUCAGUUACAGAUUGAACUCCUUGUUCUACUUUCUCCCCUUCUCACUACUGCACUUGACUAGUCUUUU
rnacentral:Y_RNA from 1 species